UGCCAACCGGGUGUCUGCACUAAGUUCGGCAUCAGUAUGGUGACUUCCUGGGAGCAGGGGGCCACCAGGUUGCCUAAAGAUGAGUGAACGGGCCCAGAUCAGAAAGGGAGCAGGUCAGGACUCCUGCACUGACUGGUAGUGGGACUGUGCCUGGGCA
rnacentral:SRP_RNA from 1 species